UGGUUCAUUAUUCGACCAUUGUGAACCCGAGGUCUAGCCUAUAACACCAGAUAAGCUACUAUUACAUAUUUUCCUUCCAUUUUAUAGAUCUUUGAUGAGGAAAUUAAAAAGACAGAAGUUUAUGAAUUAUAGCUAAUCUGCCAAGUGAGCAAAGUGAACCACAAGCGAGACAAGUCAAAUAGUUUCAAAGGUUUAUGGGAAGAAAAAUUUGUUGGUGCGGGCUGAAAGUGAAUAUGAACAGAAAGUCUAGUUUUAAAAGAUUGGAAGAUUUACUGGGUAAGAUGGAGAGAGGUCAAAACAAAAGCUUUUUGGAGAAGUUAUACAAAGAUGUAAGAGUAGAUUUUCCAAGCGACCAACAAUUCACGUAACAAGUCAAGGAAGUGUUGGUGACCAUUUGGAUGAGCUUUUUUUUUCCCUCAAUCUGAAUAAACCUCAGAUUCGCAAGGCGAGCGUAUUUUGCUAUGUGAAUUAGAACUUUUUUGGCUUGUAUAUAAAUAGAAGUAAAAACAUUUCAGAAAAAAGAUUACAAUCCUAAACUAAUUUUUUAGAGAGAAAAACAAAGAGAAGUUUAGUUUCACCAUUGGAGAUUAUUUGGAGCUUAGAUUCAAGUCAUGGAUGCUUCUCUUCAUCAUCUUCUCUUUUGAAUUAAUUAUAUAU
rnacentral:lncRNA from 1 species